rnacentral:rRNA from 1 species
UACGGAGGAGGCUAGCGUUGUUCGGAAUGACUGGGCGUAAAGCGCACGUAGGCGGACUGUCAAGUCAAGGGUGAAAUCCCGGUGCUCAACAUCAGAACUGCCUCAGAUACUGUCAGUCUAGAGUCCGGAAGAGGUGGGUGGAAUUCCUAGUGUAGAGGUGAAAUUCGCAGAUAUUAGGAAGAACACCGGUGGCGAAGGCGGCCCACUGGUCCGGAACUGACGCUGAGGUGCGAAAGCGUGGGGAGAAAACAGG